rnacentral:lncRNA from 1 species
AUAUUUCUCAUGGUUAGUUAUCAAAAUAACAUUUAAAACAUUAUUUCCAUAAUUCCAUUAAAAAAAAUAAGAUGAUUACUCACCAAAAGCAGCAAAGAGAACAAGAGCAGCGAAGAUAAGGGGGAUGAUGGAAGCAAACUUAGCCAUGAUGAUUAUUAAACUGUGUUGUUUUCAAUGUAUGUAUGUAUUGAUGUGUUGUGUGAUGAACUAAUUAAGCUUAAGAUCAGAGUCGAUUUAUAAUGAAAUGAUGGUGAGUUAGUCGUCUAUGGGUGCAUCCUAUAACUACAAAUCGUAACCCCACAAAUUAAAC